AUGAGAGAGCUUCAGUGGAAAAUUUUGGGCGGGAGGGGUAUAAUAAUUGUAAGUGCUAGAUCUGUGCAAUUACACUGUAAGAAUUUGAAGAUUUCUCUGCCUUGCUUUGCAAGUGACCAAGCCUUCCUUCUUUCAGACCUUCUGUCUGUGCUAGGCCUUUUGCAGGGCUUUGCUGCUUGCUGCGUGGAGGCUGGGCUGACAGCAGAGCACUCAGGAGCACCACAUGGCCUCUAUGUGAUGGGUUUCAGGAAGGAUUCAGCGAUCGUGUGUGUACCUGAGAAUAUGCUACUCUUCAGGAGUAAGAAAGGAAAGAAGAAAACAAGGGAAAAAACAAACAAACAAAAAACAAAGGCCCCAGAGCCCUGAGGCAUGGAAACUAGCAAGCGGGCACUUCAGGACUGUGGCUAGAUGGCUCAGCAAAAUACUGGUAAUAAUAAUAGAAAAAGAUGCAAGAAGGCCUGUGAGGAAUUGAACACUUCAGUGAGUGGUGAUCAGUUUCCUCGGUGCUGGGAUUUCCUGGUAUUACACAGUGCUCUGUACGUUUCAGGGCAAGGCUUUGUAUUUGGUAACACAGCGUAGUAUUGAAACUGAGAGACCCGUAGCUUAGUUUUUACUACAGCUUCUGCAGUGCAACAUCAGUUACAAUUUAUUGCGAGUAACCUUCAGUAGCCAUCUAAGUAUCUUUUCUCCUAUAAGAAGGCAUGAGAUCUGAAAUUCUGUUUCACCUUGAAUGACCUAGGAAACUUAUCUUCAUCCGUGAUUCACCUAAUAUGAUCUGUAAGAAUGAAUUGGGUUGGCUGCUGUCAUGUCUCUAGACCAAAGGAAAGUAAAAUGUAAUUGUAAUGCAAAUGUAACUCUGAGAAUGCAACGCUCUGGAAUAGAGAAUCAACCGAAUUUCACGCAUGUUGGUAAAAACGUGCAGGAAAAGAGAAAACAGCAACCUAGAUGUAAGAGACAAGUGGAAGAUGAAGGCGAUUAAAUGCUAUCCAUAUAGCUUCAGAUUCCUGAAAGCCACGCAGAAGUUGAUCUGCCUGCCAGCCCCUGGGGAGGGUUGCAGCAGGCUCCCAGGCCGGGCUGGGAGCACAGCAUGUGCCCUGGCACACCUCUUGGCUGGAUGAAGCCGUGGCAGCAGCACCAUGCAAGCCCCCCUUCCCAGAGGAAAUCAGAAUUACAGCAUGACGAGAGAAAGGAAGGAUCUCAACCUCGGUGCGGGAGGGAGGGCUCUGAAUCACGCAGCCCAGGAGUGCGUUCCUAAUACGGGAUAGGAAACGACUCAAUCUGGUUAAUUUUAACAGUGCUACAUUUCCACGGCCCUUUAGUGCAGCCAACACCAUGAGGUUAAAUACCGUCUCUUCUUAUUCAAAGAAAAAUCAAAACUUUGCUGAUAAUGCAUGUGAUUUUGUGCUUCCUGCCAGACCACUACAGAGUGCUAUUAUUUCCCUUAAUUGUGAAGUGAAUUUACUAUAAAGCUCACUGAUGGGAAAAAAUUGCAUUACUCGUCCAUUGUUUCUCUUUGAUUCCUUGGCUGGCUUUCAGUCCUGCCCUGGAGCUGGGCUGUUGAUGGCAUAAAGCAACAGCACAGCUUCUGUGGACACACAGAGGGUGCCUCGGGCUGGGGCACAACUGGACGGGACAUCUUGGAAAGCAUUCAAAAGGCCGUGUGGCUUUGGGAAAAUAACACCAGCUUGCUGCUGGGGUGAGAAAGAUGAGCUUGGGCUCCCGCACAUGAGUUGAGUAUCUUCCCUUUAUGGUUUCCAGGUGAUGGCUGGGUGCAGCUCCCCAGGCCCGCCGUCUUCGUGGGUGUUGUUCCUACCCCGCUAAGAAGCAUCGCAUAGAAUUGAGCAAUAGGGUGAAUACGUGGUUGGCAGCAGCCGUGGUUUUCCUCAGCCACUGCUUGGUCAGGAACUGGUACUGAGGCAUUUUCAGUUAGUUAGCAGCUUCCUGCUGUGGGAUGGCAUGUACGGCAUGGUUUCGCUUUGUUUGCUCUCUGUGUUUUAUUUAAAACGCAAAGUGAAAAAAGAUGCAGGCAAUUUGCAAUACUUGCAUGUUCCCAGUGCCUGGGAUGGAGUUAUGGUCUGAAAGGUUCCCGUAUGGAACAAAAAAUCAGCAGAGUUUUUAUUUAGAUUAAAACCUAGAUGAGGUUCAGCAAGUUUUGCAACAUUUACUUCUCUGUGAAAUGCUGCUUAAACCUGGUUUUCCACUAAGAAAGACUGAUUCAACUAAAUUGGAAGGGUUCAUAAAUGUAUAGUGAUCUUGGUAGACGUUUAUAAUAAUGUCAGCAUGUUGUAAUGUAAUUAAGCUGUUGCAUUUGUCUUUCUUUUCCAAUAUACUGCGGCUCUGUCACUUUUGGGGGCCGUCUUGAUGCGUCUUGGAAGAAUAAUUUCUUGGAUGUCUAAAGCAAGCCUUUUGGGGGAUGUGUUAACUAGGUAAUUUCUGGUACCAGUUAGCUCUAAGUAAGUAAAGCAAGUACACAGAGGACUGUAGAGAAAGACCAAUUGAUUUUAAGAUGUCUGGAAAAAAUAGUGAACGUUGUGAUGUGUGGAAAUACGUCGGGAGUUUUCUGUGGACUGAAAUUAACCAUUUUGAAGCAGCAUUGGGUAUAUCCUCUGGAACAGCUUGCUUUAAAUUGUACAACUACAUGCUCUCUAGCUUAGAUACAAUAAUACUCUGAGCUAAUAUUCACUUAGAAUUAGAGUGAAAAAUAGAUUUCAUUUUCUCAUGUUAAACUAAUUACAAAACUAAGACUUGAAUUAGAAGGUUAAAAAGAGGUCUCCAAAAUAAAUCACUUCUGAAGCCCUAAGACCUUGUUGGU
rnacentral:lncRNA from 1 species